GCUGGGUGCGGUGGCCCACGCCUGAAAUCCCAGAGGCUUGGGAGGCUGAGGCAGGAGGAUCGUGAGUUCAAAGCCAGCCUCAGCAAUAGCAAGGCUGCUAAGGGACUCAGUGAGACCCUGUCUCUA
rnacentral:sRNA from 1 species